AGUGAACGCUGGCGGUAGGCCUAACACAUGCAAGUCGAACGGCAGCACAGUAAGAGCUUGCUCUUACGGGUGGCGAGUGGCGGACGGGUGAGGAAUACGUCGGAAUCUACUUUUUCGUGGGGGAUAACGUAGGGAAACUUACGCUAAUACCGCAUACGACCUACGGGUGAAAGCAGGGGAUCUUCGGACCUUGCGCGAUUGAAUGAGCCGAUGUCGGAUUAGCUAGUUGGCGGGGUAAAGGCCCACCAAGGCGACGAUCCGUAGCUGGUCUGAGAGGAUGAUCAGCCACACUGGAACUGAGACACGGUCCAGACUCCUACGGGAGGCAGCAGUGGGGAAUAUUGGACAAUGGGCGCAAGCCUGAUCCAGCCAUACCGCGUGGGUGAAGAAGGCCUUCGGGUUGUAAAGCCCUUUUGUUGGGAAAGAAAAGCAGCAGGUUAAUACCCCGCUGUUCUGACGGUACCCAAAGAAUAAGCACUGGCUAACUUCGUG
rnacentral:rRNA from 1 species